GAAAACAAGAGGUGUUUGCAAGGUUAAGAGACUCAGUGUCUAAACGUGCCAUAAAGGUUUGCAGUAAUUUACAGCUGUAGGCAGCAGGCACUCCUGGUGGGGGGAAGGGAAAUGCAAUUUAAGAGAACAGAAAUAAAUAAGAAGCCGCAGCAGCUAACACUCUCUGAUUUAAUCCCCAGCCCAUGAGAAAGAUUUAUUCUGUUAUCUGACAGUUUGAUCACUCCAGGAAUCCCAUAGGUCAGCCCAUAUCUGCUGUUGUUAUCUCUGGGCUGUUUCCAGUGAGAUGCGCAGGGAAGAUUUGUUAAAGAAAUGAGCCGAAGAGGGGUGCUGAUAAGAGAGUUACAGAUGGGACCCCCAGAGACCUUUGGCAUGGAGGUUCCUCGACAAGAGAGAGCAAUUUGCUCUCUGCUAUGGGGCUGAGGCAUCACCGGGAGAGUGUUGGUGGCUUGCAUGGCUUGUGCUGGGGGAGCAAGUGAGUAGGAGCACACACAGUGCACACACGUGCAAAGAGCAUCCAGGAAAGGGGAAUGAGGUUGUGAGUGGAAGAUGAGCCCACAAUAGUGUGGAGGAACCAUAGCAGACUGGCACUGGGCAUACGAAGCAACCAGAAAUCCUCUUGUAAGGCUGUUAGAACAAGGAAGAGCUGCCCAAGGACUUAGUGGGAGAGGAAGGUUCACGAGCAGGCUGAAGGAUGGAUGAAGCGCCAGUCACUGUCGUUAGUCUUCAUCGGUGCUCAGGUGGUGCUCAGGUGUUCCACAGCUGAGAGCGGUGAAGGUGGGCAGGACCUUGGGGCCGGGAAGGGGUCAAGUACGGACCCUGGGGAGCUGCAAAGCUUUUGGUUUGGUGGAACUUGCUGGUGGAACCUCGCCCCAGGGUGCUUGAACGGCUGCCCGAACCCCUGGCGUCCUCUCUUCCAACAAGACAGCACAGCCAGAGCUGAAACACCUGGCCUGGUUUGUAAAUGCUGCUGCCUGGUGAAAAGCUGGUGCCCCAUGUCUUGGUGCAUCCAUCUCUGGGAUGCAGUAGCCCUGCUGUCCGUGGUAGCAUGCAAAGCACUGAGGGAGCUCAGCCCCAGAUGCGAUGGCAGCAGAGGUUUACACUCUUUAGAGACACCAAACUUCCCCCGAAUUGCAGACCUGGAUGUCAGGUCCUGA
rnacentral:lncRNA from 1 species